CGGGCAAGGGCGCCCUCUGGGUGCCGCGCUACCUGGAGAACACCUUACGCGCGGUGGGCGGGCUGCCCCCGGCUGCGUCCCGGAACCGCGGUGGCCGCACCCGAAAGGACCCGCCUCUUCGCUCCGCGGUAGCUCCCCUGCAUCGACUCCUCGGGCGCCUCCUCCUUCCUUCCCCUCCUCUUUCACCGGAUCGCCGCGCCCUCCGAGUCCCAGCGUCGGUCUCGCAGCUCCUUGCAGCCGCUCGUCGCCUUGGCCACCCGCCUCUGGCCGCCCACUCGUUGCAGCACCGAGAGCCAGGGCCCGCCCCUGGGGAGGGCGCUGCUGGGAAGCGGCUGCCUGGACCAAGCACACUGCUCCGGGACUUCAGAGAACCUGCAAAGGGGAUUGAAAAGCCCGGGGCGCGCACCCCUGCGGGAAGGCGCUAACAAGUGUCUCUAGCCUUUACUGUCGGGGUCAUCCCGCCAGGCGGUGGCAGCGCUGGGCUUAGCCACCGCGCCUCGCACGGGUCCACUUGUGGGCUGCUCGCACUCGGACCGCGUGUGGCGCUGGAAGCACAGGGGGUGACCCGCGUGCCAAGAGGCUGGAGGAUCCCAACUAGCGCCCUAUAGCCCAGGCCUCAAGUGGAAAGUGGUUUAUAAGUGACAGGGGCACUAAAUUUAGAAGUGGUCGGCUAAAUUUAUCGUGGUAGCCGCUGGUGCUUUUCGUUGUAAAAUUUCCAGUGGCUUACGUUGUUUUCGUUAAUGAGUAAUUGAUUAGCUCCACUGCUGAAUGACUUCAUAUUCUUGUUUAUCAUCUUAAAAUCCCCUCCCCCCACAGAUGCCAGAUGUUUAACAAAGAAGAUGCGUGGGAAAAUUAUCAUCGAGAGUUGAAAAGAGAAGUUGAUUUAUUUCCUUUUAAAAAAAAAAGAUGAACUGCACACAAAAGAAAUGGGUCGAUUGUUUGAGCGCAAUCAAAAAGAUCCCACUUAUUUUGGGAAGCAAAACCAGAUGUCUAAAUUCCCAGAGAACUCUUCCAGGAUGCUGUUAAGUCGUGUUAGGAAAGUCAGAGCAAGCUGCAAGAGAUAAAGGAUUUUGAUUUCCUAACUCGAGUGGAAAUCUGGGAGACUCGUCUGCCACUCAAGUUCCUUUGAAGUAGUCACUAAGUGCAUUUUCUCCUGAAUGACAUGGUCACUUCCAGUUUAUAAGUAGUAAGCACACAUUUCCAGGCUGCUAAACAAAUGCUUGAGUCUUCCAUGUUUCGAUGAGUACGUAGGAAACAAGCCACCCAAGAUCAACACCAAGACGGAACUGAAUUCAUUCUCCACACCAUACACCUGGCGGGGAGCUGCUUCGAGACAGAAACAUCUACCUAUAUCCUGCCCCUAAAAAAAUUAUUUAGAAAAAACCAUAAAGCCAUAUAUAAUCCAUGA